GUGGGGAAUCUUGCGCAAUGGGCGAAAGCCUGACGCAGCCAUGCCGCGUGAAUGAUGAAGGUCUUAGGAUUGUAAAAUUCUUUCACCGGGGACGAUAAUGACGGUACCCGGAGAAGAAGCUCCGGCUAACUUCGUGCCAGCAGCCGCGGUAAUACGAAGGGGGCUAGCGUUGCUCGGAAUUACUGGGCGUAAAGGGCGCGUAGGCGGACAGCUUAGUCAGAGGUGAAAGCCCAGGGCUCAACCUUGGAAUUGCCUUUGAUACUGGCUGUCUUGAGUUUGGGAGAGGUGAGUGGAACUCCGAGUGUAGAGGUGAAAUUCGUAGAUAUUCGGAAGAACACCAGUGGCGAAGGCGACUCACUGGCCCAAUACUGACGCUGAGGCGCGAAAGCGUAGGGAGCAAACAGGAUUAGAAACCCGUGUAGUCC
rnacentral:rRNA from 1 species